rnacentral:misc_RNA from 1 species
UUGAAAUAAAUCUGAUGAGUUGCUGCUGGUUCUCUAGGGAGCAUGUGCACACUUGUCAUCUUUAUAUCUCCACCCUGUGCACUUUUGUAGACUUAGGUCUAUGUUUCUUUAUAUACCCAAUGAUAAAAACAAUGGAAUUAAAUGCUAUAAACCUAUA